rnacentral:rRNA from 1 species
GAUGAACGCUGGCGGCGUGCCUCAUACGUGCAAGUCGAGCGAACGGACGAGAAGCUUGCUUCUCUGAUGUUAGCGGCGGACGGGUGAGUAACACGUGGAUAACCUACCUAUAAGACUGGGAUAACUUCGGGAAACCGGAGCUAAUACCGGAUAAUAUUUUGAACCGCAUGGUUCAAAAGUGAAAGACGGUCUUGCUGUCACUUAUAGAUGGAUCCGCGCUGCAUUAGCUAGUUGGUAAGGUAACGGCUUACCAAGGCAACGAUGCAUAGCCGACCUGAGAGGGUGAUCGGCCACACUGGAACUGAGACACGGUCCAGACUCCUACGGGAGGCAGCAGUAGGGAAUCUUCCGCAAUGGGCGAAAGCCUGACGGAGCAACGCCGCGUGAGUGAUGAAGGUCUUCGGAUCGUAAAACUCUGUUAUUAGGGAAGAACAUAUGUGUAAGUAACUGUGCACAUCUUGACGGUACCUAAUCAGAAAGCCACGGCUAACUACGUG